AGUGAACGCUGGCGGCGUGCUUAACACAUGAAAGUCGAACGAGAACGGGUUAUAGCUUGCUAUAAUUGUCAGCUAAGUGGCGCACGGGUGAGUAAUGUAUAGGUAAUAUGCCUCUUACUAAGGGAUAACAAAUGGAAACGUUUGCUAAUACCUUAUACUCCUUAUUAACAGAAGUUAAUAAGGGAAAGAUUUAUUGGUAAGAGAUUAGCCUGUAUUGUAUCAGUUAGUUGGUGGGGUAAUGUCUUACAAAGACUAUGACACAUAACUGGUUUGAGAGGAUGAUCAGUCACACUGGAACUGAGACACGGUCCAGACUCCUACGGGAGGCAGCAGUGUGGAAUAUUGCACAAUGGACGAAAGUCUGAUGCAGCAACGCCGCGUGGAGGAUGACACAUUUCGGUGCGUAAACUCCUUUUAUAUGAGAAGAUAAUGACGGUAUUAUAUGAAUAAGCACCGGCUAACUCCGUGCCAGCCGCCGCCGUAA
rnacentral:rRNA from 1 species